rnacentral:rRNA from 1 species
AUGGACCGAGGGGAAUUCUUCCUAAGCAUGUCCAUCACCGGCCGACAAGUCCACUUCAGUUGGGAGGUGAUUUUUAUCUAUGGUCCUGUGGAUCAUGGACGCUCAGCUACCUUCCUUGCCGAGCUGAAAGAUAAGGUACAGAGGUGCACCACUCCGGUAGUGGUGGCUGGGAACUUCAAUCUCAUUAGGUGGGCUUCUGAUAAAAGCUCAACUAAUGUUGAUCAGGUCAGCAUGUGUCUAUUCAAUGACUGUAUUGCGAACCUUGCGCUUUGUGAGAUAGCCUGCGUAGGGGCUAGGUUCACUUGGACAAAUAAGGAGGCGGACCCCAUUCAGAGUGUCUUAGAUCGGGUCUUUGUGUUGGCCUAG